rnacentral:rRNA from 1 species
UACGUAGGGUGCAAGCGUUGUCCGGAAUCCUUGGGCGUAAAGCGCGCGUAGGUGGCUUCGUAAGUCCGUUGUGAAAGUCAAAGGCUCAACCUUUGAAUGCCGAUGGAUACUGCGAAGCUAGAGUACGGAAGAGGCGAGUGGAAUUCCUGGUGUAGCGGUGGAAUGCGCAGAUAUCAGGAGGAACACCAAUAGCGAAGGCAGCUCGCUGGGACGUUACUGACACUAAGGCGCGAAAGCGUGGGGAGCGAACAGG